UACAGGGGGUGCAAACGUUGCUCGGAAUCAUUGGGCGUAAAGCGCACGUAGGCGGUUUGUUAUGUCGGAUGUGAAAGCCCUUGGCUCAACUGAGGAAGUGCAUCCGAAACUGGCAAGCUAGAGUACUAAAGAGGAUCGCGGAAUUCCCGGUGUAGAGGUGAAAUUCGUAGAUAUCGGGAGGAACACCAGUGGCGAAGGCGACUACCUGGCCUGUUCUUGACGCUGAGGCGCGAAAGCUAGGGGAGCAAACGGG
rnacentral:rRNA from 1 species